rnacentral:piRNA from 1 species
UCGGACAUGAUCAGGGAGUCUAUAUUUGCC